rnacentral:rRNA from 1 species
AUUGAACGCUGGCGGCAGGCCUAACACAUGCAAGUCGAGCGGAUGAAGGGAGCUUGCUCCUGGAUUCAGCGGCGGACGGGUGAGUAAUGCCUAGGAAUCUGCCUGGUAGUGGGGGAUAACGUCCGGAAACGGGCGCUAAUACCGCAUACGUCCUGAGGGAGAAAGUGGGGGAUCUUCGGACCUCACGCUAUCAGAUGAGCCUAGGUCGGAUUAGCUAGUUGGUGGGGUAAAGGCCUACCAAGGCGACGAUCCGUAACUGGUCUGAGAGGAUGAUCAGUCACACUGGAACUGAGACACGGUCCAGACUCCUACGGGAGGCAGCAGUGGGGAAUAUUGGACAAUGGGCGAAAGCCUGAUCCAGCCAUGCCGCGUGCGUGAAGAAGGUCUUCGGAUUGUAAAGCACUUUAAGUUGGGAGGAAGUGCAGUAAGUUAAUACCUUGCUGUUUUGACGUUACCAACAGAAUAAGCACCGGCUAACUUCGUG